rnacentral:misc_RNA from 1 species
UGGCUGAACUGCUGAAAUUUCUCAGGAAAUGAGGCAUGUUUUGUAAAUGUUGGAGGUGCAUAUUGUUCUUCUUUGCACCAAAAAGGGCUGUAUUAGACACAAUCAAUGGUGUUGGUGUGAUAAUGGUGCAGCUAUGCCUUGUAUCCAACAAAUCCAUGUCAUUCUUUAGGGUGAUGUAGGGAUGAGCCUGAUGUGUUCUUGGAGUAAGAGUGGACACACUGUGUAUUCCUUUCUGUGGUCAUGGAUUUCUUCCGCUUUGGAGGCAGGUCCAAUUUUUCCAGGGGAUAUCUUGUUGUGAACGAGGACUAGCUUUUAUGGCUUUGGUUGACNNNNNCGCCGGUAUGGCAGAUUAAUUUUCUCUGUAACCGGAAUUCAUAAUAGCACCUGUAGUGGUAACAGCUUUAUGAUUUUCAAUAAAUAUUAGGGUCGAUUCAUCCGUCA